GACGGAGGAUGCAAGUGUUAUCCGGAAUCACUGGGCGUAAAGCGUCUGUAGGUGGUUCAAUAAGUCAACUGUUAAAUCUUGAGGCUCAACUUCAAAAUCGCAGUCGAAACUAUUGGACUCGAGUAUAGUAGGGGUAAAGGGAAUUUCCAGUGGAGCGGUGAAAUGCGUAGAGAUCGGAAAGAACACCAACGGCGAGAGCACUCUGCUGGGCCGACACUGACACUGAGAGACGAAAGCUAGGGGAGCGAAUGGG
rnacentral:rRNA from 1 species